GAUGAACGCUGGCGGCGUGCUUAACACAUGCAAGUCGAACGGUGAAGCAGGAGCUUGCUCUUGUGGAUCAGUGGCGAACGGGUGAGUAACACGUGAGCAACCUGCCCCUGACUCUGGGAUAAGCGCUGGAAACGGCGUCUAAUACUGGAUAUGUGAUGUGACCGCAUGGUCUGCAUCUGGAAAGAAUUUCGGUUGGGGAUGGGCUCGCGGCCUAUCAGCUUGUUGGUGAGGUAAUGGCUCACCAAGGCGUCGACGGGUAGCCGGCCUGAGAGGGUGACCGGCCACACUGGGACUGAGACACGGCCCAGAAGCCUACGGGAGGCAGCAGUGGGGAAUAUUGCACAAUGGGCGGAAGCCUGAUGCAGCAACGCCGCGGGAGGGAUGACGGCCUUCGGGUUGUAAACCUCUUUUAGCAGGGAAGAAGCGAAAGUGACGGUACCUGCAGAAAAAGCACCGGCUAACUACGUGCCAGCCGCCGCCGUAA
rnacentral:rRNA from 1 species